rnacentral:rRNA from 1 species
AGAGUUUGAUCAUGGCUCAGAUUGAACGCUGGCGGCAGGCCUAACACAUGCAAGUCGAGCGGUUGAGGUAGCUUGCUACCGAUGCAGCGGCGGACGGGUGAGUAAUACAUGGGAAUCUGCCUGGUAGUGGGGGACAACGUUUCGAAAGGAACGCUAAUACCGCAUACGCCCUACGGGGGAAAGGGGGGGAUCGUAAGACCUCUCGCUAUCAGAUGAGCCCAUGUCGGAUUAGCUAGUUGGUGGGGUAAAGGCCUACCAAGGCGACGAUCCGUAACUGGUCUGAGAGGAUGAUCAGUCACACUGGAACUGAGACACGGUCCAGACUCCUACGGGAGGCAGCAGUGGGGAAUAUUGGACAAUGGGCGCAAGCCUGAUCCAGCCAUGCCGCGUGUGUGAAGAAGGCCUUAGGGUUGUAAAGCACUUUCAGUGGGGAGAAAGGUGAUUCACCUAAUACGUGAGUCAAUUGAUGUUACCCACAGAAGAAGCACCGGCUAACUCCGUGCCAGCCGCCGCGGUAAUUC